rnacentral:lncRNA from 1 species
AGGGUGAAUUUACUCAGAAAGUUGAGGCCAGAGGAUCACUUGAGCCCAGGAGUUCAAGUCCAGCCUGGGCAAUACAGUAAGACCCUGUCUCAAAAAUAAAUAAAUAAAAGGUGAAUUAGAUGGUAUGCGACAUGCAUCUCAAUGAAGUUGCAACGAAAAGAUGGAAGAAGUAAUAGAAUGUCUGUGUGCUAAUAAGAAUGAUCUUGUAGAGAGAGGGGAAAACUGGUGGAACCAUGUCCUCAAGUAGGUGAGAGAGGAUGGGAUGGAGUGCCAAAGGGGAGAGACUGGAUUUUGACGACAGUAGGAGCACCUUAUGUAGUACAGAGAAGAAGGCAGAGUAUGUGGAUACAGAUGCUGUGUGGUGGUUGGAUGUGGUGGUGGGAAUCUGCAGAUGUUUUAUUCCAAUGGUUUCCAUUUUUUCAGUCAAGUAGGAAGCCUGAGUGUAAGGACAGGGGAGGAAAUGUUGAGGAUUUCAGGAGAGAAGUAGGAAACAAUCAUCAUCUAGGAGGGUAGGAUAGAAAAUGCAAUGGAGCAAGUAGAGAGCUGGAUUUAACUGGGCUGAGGCAGUGCCCGAUAAAGUGGAUGGUAAGUACGCUGAAGUGGCAGAGGGCGAAGGGAAGUGAGACUGUCCGCCCAGGAAUGAUUGUAACAGUGGGUCAUGGAAUCUAAGCUGAUUAAAGGAGGGACAUAGGAGCAUGGGGGAAGUGAAAGGGAGUGAAAAUGUUCAGUCCCAGUGGGAUUGAGGGAUUGCUGGAGUUGGAGUACUAGUAGGCGUGAGCUAGAAAAAUAGGAGGUACUGGCUAGAGAACAGGAUGCCUGAAACUGAGAAUAUGAAAACAAUGCAGUCACAGGUACUGACAAGGACAAGGGUCAGACUAUUGGAGUAGGUAGCUGAGGUGGGGUUAAAAGGCAGGAUCAUUGUAGGGUGGCAAAUCACAGAACUGACAGAUGAAAAUAUUGGAAGGAUCAGCUACAAAGAUAUUAAAAUCACCAAGAAUUAGGACUGGACCAGUGUUAAAGAGAAUGACAGUGAGAUCACAGCUAAAUUCAUUUAGAAAUGGUAAUGAUGGGCAGAUAUGGGUGUAUGUCUGUAUAUGAUGAUACAGAGUGGUAGCUGAUGGUAUAUUCUGAUGAUAUGAGAUUUACAACAAGGUUGUUGAUAUUUAUAUAAUCCCAACAUAUUUCAUGAAAGAAAAAAGGGGAACUAUAGUGGAAAAACCUGACAGACACCACCUUAAACAAGGAAUCAAAGUCAACAAAACUGGUAUCAGGACAAAAUGACAUCACAUGCCUCCUGAUAGGAAGCACUGAAGACAUAACUUCUCUUCUGCGGUAUUCUCACCAAAAUUACAUAACUUGAAUAUAAUCACAGUGAAACUUGAGACAAACCCAAAUUCUAUGAAAUAACUGUCCAGGAGUCUUCUAAAUGAUCAAAAUCAUAAAAGACAAAGAAAGACUCAAGAACUGUUCCAUAUUGGAAGAGCCUAAGGAGGCAUGAUAACUAAAUGUAAUGUGGGAGCCUGAACUGAAUCCUUGAAAAGAAAAGUGGCACUAGUGAAAAACUGAUGUAAUCUAAAUAAACCCUGUAGUUUCGUUAAGAGUACAGGCAAUACCUCAUUUUAUUGUGCUGCACUUUACUGCACUUCACAGAUACUGUGUCUUUUACUAAUUGAAGGUUUGUGGCAAAGUUGUAUUGAGUAAAUCUAUUAGUGCCAUUUUUCCAACAGUAUGUGCUCACUUAGUGUCUCUGUCUUACAUUUUGGUAAUUUUCACAUUUCAAAACUUUUCUUAUAUCUG